ensembl:lncRNA
UUUGAAGUGUGGAAAAUCGACUGCGACUAACAUUAUGAUUGCCAAUUAUCCCUGUCCACAGAUUGAAAAACAUAUUGUGAACAGCGUUCCAUUAAAUAGUCUACACAGUAUGUCCACACAGCGUUUCAACUUAAUUACCUGUGACCUGAGCAGGAAAAGCUCUGUCCCCUAGCAACAGCAUAUUACAGUGUUCUGAACACUAUAGUAAAUAUUACUUUACAUUAAUUAGACUGGGGCAUUACGUAAUGUACCUUUUGUACAAGUGCAUGUCCAUUAUCAUUUUGAUGCAUUGUUAACAGCGGGUGAUGAGUUUUCUCUUCUCCUCUCCUUUACAAGUUUCAGGUCUGGUGUUCUUUGUGGUGAUCGUGGUGCUGCUGUCCAUAUACCGGAAAGAACCUCACUGCUGCAAAGACACCCAUGGAGACAUGGAUGCCCCUCCUCAGUACUACAGCAGCAGACAAACACUGGUGGGAAACCCCUGUCUGGAACAGACUCAUGACAUCAUACACGACAACACACACUCACAGUCAGGGCAGCUGUUCCUUAUCGGCCUGCCCUCCAGCUACCGCCUGCCCUCCCUGGAGGCGCCCCUCCCCAGGCUGCCCUCCUACGAGAGUGUCAGGAAGAAGGACCGCCAGAGACAGAUACACAUGAUGAUUGCUGACCGUUUCGGCCUCAACGGCUCCAUGCUGACUGAGCCCCCUCCAACGUAUGAGGAGAGCAUCCGCCACUCCAUUGAAGUACCCUUUGACAUUCUGGGGUCUGUAAUAGACGCCCCUCAUCCCCAGAACAUUUCCCCUCCGCACCCUGGCACAGACUUUACCACUCAGUCAGAGGUAACCACUCAGUGCCCAUCCACUCAGGAUGCCAACAGUGCCACCCUACCAGUCUGAAUCCUCAGACUCGCUACUGACACAUGAUGACAAGGACAACUGGAGUAUUGAUGCUUUUUAUCCAUCUUGAUGUGCCAAACUGGUCAGAGGAUAACAGACAGGGGAAAUGCACACAUUCUCCAUAGGUUGAAUCAGAUCCAGCAGCCAAUGGGUUGACUGUACUGUAGGAACAUCCUGCAGUGACAGUAUGCUGGAAGAUAGUGACCAAAGAUGGUGAAAUUCUACAUUGCGGGUUACUCCAUACUGACAAACUUGAAUGUUUAAACACCUCUUGUCAGUUGUGAUUUUAAACUGGAGCCUAAAUAAGAUUGAUGAACUGGGAAGACUUGGAUUACCAUUCUACAGUGAAAAGGGAAACCGUCCUGUAGAUGACCAAUACCAUGACUAUAUGUGUCUGAGGUGGCAGGUUCUAAUGCCAAAGUUAACUGUAAGAGGAGACAGGCCAGGUAGAAAGACACUCCAUGACAAAUGUGCUGCUGAAAAACAAAUACUAUUUUGCUGUGAACAGAAAAAGCACCAAAAAGGGAAGAACGAUCUUUAGAUUUAAAAAAAAUGUUUCUCAUAUUUUCUACAUUUGAUCAUGGUAACCCCUUUUGAUCAUUUUAUGGAUUAAAGUAAUCUGGAUUAUUGUUUUUUGAGGAACUGUGUUGUAGCAAGUCCUUUUCUGAGUAAAAUCACUCUCCUCUUUUAGUGCAAUGUACGAGCCAAAAACGUAUAAGCGUGAGAUGUAUAAUGCUCAUAUGUCCUACCCUGCUGAGCUUGGGUUGUACAGCUGAGCCAGCUACAACUUGUGUGUUAGUCUUGGAACCUGUGAAGAGUGAGUCAACAACACCAAACCUGUGUUGGCUCUGGUAACGGGUCUUAAAUGCCCAAUGCAGCCGUUUUUAUAUCAAAUCAUUUAUGGGUAACAAUAAUGUACCUUACUGUGAUGGUUUUCUAUUAAAAUUAUCAAAAUUGUUUUUUGUUGCUUUUAUGCUUUUUAAGCGUUAAACGUUUUAACAAGCAAGAUUUGUGGUCCAAGUGGGGAGGAGAAAAGGGAAAACUAGUUGUUAUUGUUAGAGAGGUUUGGAACUCUUUGUUAUUAAUCUAUUCAUUAAUUUACCACCUGGUGAUGUCACCAGGCAUGCAGAAACUCCAUGCAAAACCUGCUGUUUAGAAGGUCCUUUGUAGAAUGUAUUUUCAACCAGGAAAUAAUACUGAUCAAAUCUUGUUAGUUUCAUCAGCUGUUGUUCAAUAUGAUGGAAAACACAGAAAACUGAAUUUUGACUGCACGAGGCCUUUAAGAUACAAUUCAGCAUUGGGAUUGUGGGAAGCGUUAACUAAGUAGCUAGCUUUGUUUAUUCAAGAGCUCUGUGAACAGUGAAUGAGAAUAGCUGUGUAAAAAGCUUUUUUUUGUUGGUUAACUGGGCUGCCUGUUUUAACAGUCCCUGCACAAGCUUGAGAAGAAACCAGUAUGAAUGACAAGAAAAAGUAUGUAAUAUUUCCUUCACAUCAUGUCUGAAACAAAAGUAUGAGGUUUCAGCAGCCGUUAGCAAGUAGAGACAAGUCUACUCAAAAGACAGCAAUUGGGAAAUACUUGUAUGUUUAUACAAGUGUAAGAGUGAGAAUUGGAGUUGAUGAUCAUUUAUAGACCUGUCUGUCACGUAAACUAAUUGAGAUGGUGGUGGCUUCUAGAUAAAGACAUGUUUAACAUUUACUUAACAAAAGGCACAUCUCAAUAGGUGGUCCAGGUAUGACAUGACAUGGAACAAGCAGGGGGAGAGGCAGGUGGUACUUUCCUCUUUUGUUCUCUAUUGUUCCUCAAACAAGGAGGAGGCUGAUGACAUCACAUCUGACCAUCUCCUUGUAUUUGAUUUAUUUCACCUUUAUUCAACUAGGCAGUUAAGAACAGUGGGUUAACUGCCUUGUUCAGGGGCAGAACGACAGAUUUUUACCUUGUCAGCUCGGGGAUUCGAUCUAGCAACCUUUCGGUUACUGGCCCAACGCUCUAACUGCUUGGCUACCUGCCGCCCUUAACCUGCCACUCCAAAAUCCUUGAAGUUAACUUAAAGUUUGCGGUUGUCUCAAAUACACUAUUUUGCUCAAAACAUAUUUUUUUGAACCCUUUAGUGUAUGUAUUUAUACUUGGGAUAUUUGAACAGGAAAAGUAAAACAAAAUCACUGGAGGACGUCUAACUUUCACUUUCCGAACCCUCUAAAAUGCACUUUACAUUGGUGGGAGCAGUGUUUUUGUGCAUUUUGAAUGACCCUGGAACCUAACUUUUAUACAAGUGAAUUAAUGACCUGUAAGUUUACUUUGAGCCCACCACCAAGUUACAUCUGACCUGUGCACACACAUUGAACAUAUGUAUGUAAAUAAUAAACUGUUAUUAAAUCAAAUUGUAUUAGCCACAUUCGCCGAAUACAACAGUAGACCUUACAGUGAAAUGCUUACUUACGAGCCCCUAACCAACAAUGCAGUUGGAUAUACGGAUAAGAUUACGGAUAAGAAAUAAAAG